AGAGUUUGAUCAUGGCUCAGGAUGAACGCUGGCGGCGUGCCUAACACAUGCAAGUCGAACGGAUGCAGCAAUGCAUUAGUGGCGCACGGGUGAGUAACACGUAGCUGACCUGCCCUUCAGUGCGGGAUAACGGUUCGAAAGGACUGCUAAUACCGCAUAAGCUCACGGACUUUAGAGGUCUGCGAGAAAAGUUCCGGCGCUGAAGGAGGGGGCUGCGGUCCAUCAGGUAGAUGGUGAGGUAACGGCUUACCAUGCCGACGACGGAUAGGGGACCUGAGAGGGUGACCCCCCACACUGGAACUGAGACACGGUCCAGACUCCUACGGGAGGCAGCAGUGAGGAAUAUUGCUCAAUGGGCGCAAGCCUGAAGCAGCGACGCCGCGUGGACGAUGAAGGCUUUCGGGUCGUAAAGUCCUUUUUGAGGUGACGAGCAGGGACGGUAGCCUCAGAAUAAGUGUCGGCUAACUACGUGCCAGCAGCCGCGGUAAAACGUAGGACACGAGCGUUAUCCGGAGUUACUGGGCGUAAAGGGCGUUUAGGCGGGUGAUUAAGUUCGCUAUGAAAGCGCCGGGCUAAACCCGGCGAGGCUGGCGGAUACUGGUCAUCUGGAGUGAGGGAGAGGGAAGUAGAAUUCCGCGUGUAGUGGUGAAAUGCGUAGAGAUGCGGAGGAAUACCAGUGGCGAAGGCGACUUCCUGGCCCUCAACUGACGCUGAAGCGCGAAAGCAUGGGGAGCGAACGGGAUUAGAAACCCCGGUAGUCCAUGCCGUAAACGAUGUGCACUAAACGUUCGGUUUCCGCGAGGGAGCCGGGUGUUGAAGCUAACGCGGUAAGUGCACCGCCUGGGGAGUACGGUCGCAAGGCUAAAACUCAAAUGAAUUGACGG
rnacentral:rRNA from 1 species